rnacentral:rRNA from 1 species
CAGUAGCCGCGGUAACACGUAGGUGGCGAGCGUUGUCCGGAAUUAUUGGGCGUAAAGGGAGCGCAGGCGGGCGAGUAAGUCUUUCUUAAAAGUGCGGGGCUCAACCCCGUGAGGGGAGAGAAACUACUCAUCUUGAGUGCAGGAGAGGAAAGCGGAAUUCCUAGUGUAGCGGUGAAAUGCGUAGAUAUUAUGAAGAACACCAGUGGCGAAGGCGGCUUUCUGGACUGUAACUGACGCUGAGGCUCGAAAGCCAGGGGAGCGAACGGGAUUAGAUACCCCCGUAGUCCCUGUCUCUUAUACC